rnacentral:rRNA from 1 species
UACAGAGGGGCAAGCGUUGUUCGGAAUUACUGGCGUAAAGGGCGCGUAGGCGGCCCGCUAAGUCGAACGUGAAAUCCCCGAGCUCAACUCGGGAACUGCGUCCGAUACUGGCGGGCUUGAAUCCGGGAGAGGAUGCGGAAUUCCAGGUGUAGCGGUGAAAUGCGUAGAUAUCUGGAGGAACACCGGUGGCGAAGGCGGCAUCCUGGACCGGCAUUGACGCUGAGGCGCGAAAGCUAGGGGAGCAAACGGG